rnacentral:rRNA from 1 species
GACGAACGCUGGCGGCGUGCUUAACACAUGCAAGUCGAACGGAAAGGCCCUGCUUUUGUGGGGUGCUCGAGUGGCGAACGGGUGAGUAACACGUGAGUAACCUGCCCUUGACUUUGGGAUAACUUCAGGAAACUGGGGCUAAUACCGGAUAGGAGCUCCUGCUGCAUGGUGGGGGUUGGAAAGUUUCGGCGGUUGGGGAUGGACUCGCGGCUUAUCAGCUUGUUGGUGGGGUAGUGGCUUACCAAGGCUUUGACGGGUAGCCGGCCUGAGAGGGUGACCGGCCACAUUGGAACGGGGUAAGGGCCCGACCUCCUACGGGGGGCAGCGGUGGGAAUAUUUGCACAAGGGGCGAAGCCCUAAUGAAGCAAGGCGGCGUGCGGAAUGAGGGCUUUGGGUUGUAAACCGCUUUCGCCUGUGACGAAGCGUGAGUGACGGUAAUGGGUAAAGAAGCACCGGCUAACUACGUG